GAUGAAGAACGUAGCGAAAUGCGAUACGUAAUGUGAAUUGCAAAUUCAGUGAAUCAUCGAGUCUUUGAACGCACAUUGCGCCCCCUGGUAUUCCGGGGGGCAUGCCUGUCCGAGCGUCAUUGCUGCCCUCAAGCACGGCUUGUGUGUUGGGCCCCGUCCUCCGAUCCCGGGGGACGGGCCCGGAAGGCAGCGGCGGCACCGCGUCCGGUCCUCGAGCGUAUGGGGCUUUGUCACCCGCUCUGUAGGCCCGGCCGGCGCUUGCCGAUCAACCCAAAUUUUUAUCCAGGUUGACCUCGGAUCAGGUAGGGAUACCCGCUGAACUUAAGCAUAUCAAUAAGCGGAGGA
rnacentral:misc_RNA from 1 species